rfam:Methyloversatilis universalis FAM5 contig00071, whole genome shotgun sequence.
CGCGUUUUUCGCCCAGGCGGAGCUCGACUGCCGUUUGAAGUGAUUUACGGGCUGGUCGAUGAGUACUGCGACAGCCACGGGGUCGAGCCGAUGUGUCAGCUUUGUCCUG